rnacentral:rRNA from 1 species
UACGAAGGGUGCAAGCGUUACUCGGAAUUACUGGGCGUAAAGCGUGCGUAGGUGGUGGUUUAAGUCUGCUGUGAAAGCCCUGGGCUCAACCUGGGAAUUGCAGUGGAUACUGGAUCACUAGAGUGUGGUAGAGGGAUGCGGAAUUUCUGGUGUAGCAGUGAAAUGCGUAGAGAUCAGAAGGAACAUCUGUGGCGAAGGCGGCAUCCUGGGCCAACACUGACACUGAGGCACGAAAGCGUGGGGAGCAAACAGG